CGUAACACGUAUGUAACCUACCUUUAUCUGGGGGAUAGCCUCUCGAAAGAGAGAUUAAUACCGCAUAAAAUCACAGUACGGCAUUGUACAAUGAUCAAAUAUUUAUAGGAUAAAGAUGGACAUGCGGGACAUUAGCUAGUUGGUAAGGUAACGGCUUACCAAGGCUACGAUGUCUAGGGGAUCUGAGAGGAUGGCCCCCCACACUGGUACUGAGACACGGACCAG
rnacentral:rRNA from 1 species